rnacentral:rRNA from 1 species
UGGGGAAUAUUGGACAAUGGGGGCAACCCUGAUCCAGCCAUGCCGCGUGAGUGAUGAAGGCCUUCGGGUUGUAAAGCUCUUUUGGCGGGGACGAUGAUGACGGUACCCGCAGAAUAAGCCCCGGCUAACUUCGUGCCAGCAGCCGCGGUAAGACGAAGGGGGCUAGCGUUGUUCGGAAUUACUGGGCGUAAAGCGAGUGUAGGUGGUUGUCAUAGUCAGGUGUGAAAGCCUUGAGCUCAACUCAAGAAAUGCACUUGAUACUGGGCGACUAGAGGACCGGAGAGGAUAGUGGAAUUCCCAGUGUAGUGGUGAAAUACGUAGAGAUUGGGAAGAACACCAGUGGCGAAGGCGGCUAUCUGGACGGUUUCUGACACUAAGACUCGAAAGCGUGGGGAGCAAACAGGAUUAGAUACCCACGUAGUCCCUGAGCGGGCUGGCAAGGCGCAU